AGCGAACGUUAGCGGCGCGCCUAACACAUGCAAGUCGCACGAGAAAGGGAGCAAUCCCCGGUACAGUGGCGCACGGGUGAGUAACACGUAGAUGACCUUCCCUGGAGUGGUGGAUAACCUGCCGAAAGGCGGGCUAAUACAGCAUGGGACCACAUGGUUUUGACCGAGUGGUGAAAGCGGGCCUCUGUUCACAAGCUCGCGCUCUGGGAUGGGUCUGCGUCCCAUCAGCUAGUUGGUGAGGUAAUGGCUCACCAAGGCGUCGACGGGUAGUUGGUCUGAGAGGAUGACCAGCCACACCGGAACUGAGACACGGUCCAGACUCCUACGGGAGGCAGCAGUGGGGAAUCUUGCGCAAUGGGCGAAAGCCUGACGCAGCGACGCCGCGUGGGUGAUGAAGGCCUCGGUUGUAAG
rnacentral:rRNA from 1 species